rnacentral:rRNA from 1 species
GAUGAACGCUAGCGACAGGCUUAACACAUGCAAGUCGAGGGGCAGCACAGGUAGCACUACCGGGUGGCGACCGGCGCACGGGUGAGUAACGCGUAUGCAACUUACCUAUCAGAGGGGGAUAACCCGGCGAAAGUCGGACUAAUACCGCAUGAAGCAGGGGUCCCGCAUGGGGAUAUUUGCUAAAGAUUCAUCGCUGAUAGAUAGGCAUGCGUUCCAUUAGGCAGUUGGCGGGGUAACGGCCCACCAAACCGACGAUGGAUAGGGGUUCUGAGAGGAAGGUCCCCCACAUUGGUACUGAGACACGGACCAAACUCCUACGGGAGGCAGCAGUGAGGAAGAUUGGUCAAUGGCCGAGAGGCUGAACCAGCCAAGUCGCGUGAGGGAUGAAGGUUCUAUGGAUCGUAAACCUCUUUUAUAAGGGAAUAAAGUGCGGGACGUGUCCCGUUUUGUAUGUACCUUAUGAAUAAGGAUCGGCUAACUCCGUG